GCAUUGUCAAGAUUUUAUUUCACUAUUCCACAAUCUAACUGUCAAACUACACAUGAACAAAAAUUGAGUGGUAAAGAAAAGAAUAUAGUUGCAGAAACAGACGAAGAUGGUGAUAUUCUUGUACGAAGAUUACACCAGAAUGAAAUCGAACAGAAUGUUAUAACGUUAGGUAAUUAUAUUCAAGCUUUGAAGUGCAAUAAUUUCUGGAUUAUGUUGGUGUAUAGUCAUUAUGACAGCUAGGUUAUUAUACUUUGUGGUGGGAUUAAAUUCAUCAACAGGAAAUCGCUUGAAUGUUACCCAAGAAGGAUUCACCUACACCUAACUGAAAUAUUUCAUCUAUGAUCGGUUCUACUUAAAUGCCUGGAGUGCCUAGACUUUUAAUUACUUUAAUUACCGUAACUGCCCGUACCAGCAAAUUUCACUGAAAAAAUGUGCAAUGUAGUUCUAUCCUCAUUCUUUUCGACUAUAUUAAGAAAAAAGAAAGAAAUAUUUACUCUUUUUGAAAGGUUGUUCACUUGUUCAACAUUUUAAUGUUCAAGUGCACAUUGUAAAAGCAUACCGUAAACCUCCCAAUAUACGCCCAGGGGAUUAUAUUAGUGCGCAUUAUAUUAUAGUUCGUAAGCAUUUUGAUUGUCUUAUACAUCGAGUGCUGGCUUAUAUGCGGACAUUUGCUGUUAGUAAUAAUAUUUAUUGCACCUGUAAAUUAUACCGUCAACGAAAAGAAAUAUACACAUACAGUAUAUAAGACAUAGUAAAACAAGUUGAUUAACGUAUUAUACAGGGUAAUACUGUGAUGUAAUUAUCAUCAGUCGUUGGUGCUGUUGGAAUCCCUGUCGCCCAAUAGGGGACUUAUAUUCGGAGGUCUACGGUACUCGAAAUACCGUUGAGCUAACAAUAUAUACUAGAGUUUUGUAUUUUGUUUUACUGUUAUACAUAAAUGAAAUUGUGAUUUAUAUUGCUGAACACUCCUUGGCAACUCCUAUAAUAAGCGUUGGCACACAGGGUUGGGUUUCUUCCCACUGGGGAUUAGAGGUACCUGUUGACAUGGAUCGUAACUACCCUGCCCCUGUCUGACCUUUGCAUUAUCCUUGGGAUCUCUGAAUUAAUCAUGUUGUUAAACAUAAACUUUAUUGCAGAACACUCCCUGGCAACUCCCAUAUCAAGUGUUGGCACUCAGGCUAGUAUUAAAGGGAAUACAAUACGGAUUAUAAGAUCGUGAUGUGAUGAUUAGUUUUACAGUGUAGCUUAUCAAAUCAAUCAUGAUAUGUCAAUAAUGUCAUAAAUGCAUGUUCUGUACUAACGAUUGUCCGACUGCAGUUUUCUGUUAACUUUGUUGUUAACGAGGAUUAAUUACUGGAUGCUCAUUGGUUAAGAGGAGUACAAUUAUUUCAUUAAUUGUACUGCAGUACAAUUAAUGAUUUUCCCAAAACAAACAAAAUGGCGGAAAGGUAUUUUUAACACAAAUGUGAAAUGAAUUUGCAACUAGAUGAAAAUACGAACAAAAGCACCAAAUUUUGCUUUAACAAAGGAACUAAAUUAAAAUACGAAUUAAUUAUUAAAGUACCAAAUUUUUGGUGAAAGUCUGGCAGGACUGGGCUUUGGCGAGAGAAUAUGAUGUUGACGGAGAAGUAUCCAAUUUUGUCAUAUGCUAAUAUGCCCGUGACCGGCGGCUCGUCCAAUUUUGGCAAAAUUUCCAAACAUCACUCGUACUAUUAAUCCCUAAUUGUACUCACCAUCGCAUGAUUACCUAUAGUUAUUGUACAGUUUAUUUGUAUAUUACUUCUUCUGAACAAAUGUAGAGUUGCUAGGGUUUUUUCAAUCCAAUUGGUUAAUCUGGGGCCGGUUGUAUAAAAGAGUAUAGUUAAGGUUUACCGCAAUUAGUGCGGUUAGUUUGCUGCAGGACAGUAACCAGUCAGAAUCGGGUAUUUGAGAGAUAACUGCUACUUAACUACAAACGGGUAGCUAAAAAGUAGUUACUGUUACUGUAAGCCUUUUAUACAGCCGGCCCUGGAUCUAACAAUCAAGCCUGGAUGACUUAUAUUAUUUAUUAUACUUGCUAUAAUUAUGCUAAAGUAUUUUUCAAUAAUAUAGGUAUGGCGAGGUUCUUUGCUCCUUUGUGAUUUUCUUCUCCACCAUGAAAAGGAGU